rnacentral:rRNA from 1 species
GAUGAACGCUAGCGGCAGGCCUAAUACAUGCAAGUCGAACGAUAUUUUCCAGCUUGCUGGGAGAGCAAGUGGCGCACGGGGGCGGAACGCGUAUGCAACCUACCUUACCAGGGGGAUAGCCCGGAGAAUUACGGUUUAAUAGCGCAUAAACUCACAGACCGGCAUUGGUCAAUGAUCAAACAUUUAUGGGUUAACGAUGGUCAUGGGGUUCAUUAGCUAGUUGGCGGGGUAACGGCCCACCAAGGCGACGAUGCCUAGGGGACCUGAGAGGAUGGCCCCCCACACUGGUUCUGAGACACGGACCAGACUCCUACGGGAGGCAGCAGUAAGGAAUAUUGGUCAAUGGAGGCAACUUUGAACCAGCCAUGCCGCGUGCAGGAAGACCGCCCUAUGGGUUGUAAACUGCUUUUAUCCGGGAAUAAACCUCCGAUCGUGAUCGGAGCUGAAUGUACCGGAAGAAUAAGGAUCGGCUAACUCCGUGCCAGCCGCCGCAGUAA